CACAGCUCUAUGUUUCUAUGACAUUGUGCCAAAUUGUCAGAUUCAGUCAUAGUAAUUUGGAGCAGACCUGAGUGAAGACUGCAGCCUCCAGGUCCACUCCCCAAGCCCCGCCCACAGGCCGCCAUGGAUAGGCUAGAUUUGAAAUACUGGCCACCCAUGAUGCUCUGUGGCAGCUGGGGAAGCUUCCAAUGGCCGAAACAACAUGGCAAGGCUUUGGAGGUGCCGCAGUGAGUCGCAACAGCUGGCCACCCUGAAAUCAACAAAUGUAUGCCAUACGAAAACAGUAGUACUGCUCUUUUGACACACAGGGGAUUUCAGUUUUGGUAUUACCAGCUAUGCUGAAUUAUGGACUUGGGCAGCAGGAUACUUCAGUUGUGCGCACACAAGCGUACUCCUUUUUGCCCCAGUGUGCUUCUGUACAAUCCAGAUGCCCCAAGAGAAACACAGAAAUUACUUGCAUAGGAAGAAUCCCACGCACGGAAAGCCCAUUUAAGCAAAAAAGCCAGCGCUAGAGCUCUCGUCCAUCCUUAUUACAAAGGAUAGGAAGAGAACCGGAGGGAGAAGCGUCUGGGCGAGCGGGAAAGUAGCGAACAGCGGCCCCUGGGGGGCGACUCGCUGACGGGAAUUUGGGGGACGCGGCGCGCGAAUGGACAGAGCGGACGGGCGAACCAAAUUUCGGUCGCGGGGAGGAGGCUGGGACGGUGGUGGGACAAAGCGGCGAUAAGCAAGCAACUGCCCGAAGCAGUCCGGGCAGCGGAAUAAGCGGCGAGGUCGCCUCACGUGGGGCCACCUCAGGGGCAACAAAGCCUGACUUGGUUCAUAUGGCGGGAAAACAAAAGGCUGCCCCCCCUCGAGCGCGGGGCGAGAGCCAAGUACCUUUUCUCCGGUCACGACGUGCAGCCCUUCCCGCACUUUGGCGAAGGACCCCUCGCCCAACUUCCUUCCGAUCAGCUCCUGCUUCUGCUCCCGCUGCCCCCCAAAUUCAAGUCUGCAGCACCAGCCUGCCAAUGUGAUCGGCACCCGCGUGUGCACGUGGGGACCCGACGGCGGCUGGCUGGCUGGCUGGUUGCUGAGGCGCACUUUGCCUCUCAGGGAAAUGUCAAGCAAAGAGCAAAACAAGCAAGCAAUGAAAAAAGCAAAAUAACAGAAAAGAAACCCGCUUCGCCAAGGGGGUCUGCCCGGCUUGGUGGAGAUCUAGCGCGAUUCGGCCGCCACGAGGAACUGGCUCCGGACCAUAGCCGCGCAGCUUUGCAGCCAGCUCCGGCGAUCUGCGAGGCUGAGGCUGUGCACGCCUCACGUUGA
rnacentral:lncRNA from 1 species